AAUUUAGAUUUUUUUUUUUUUUAUAGGGGAAUGAAGUGCAUAUCCUGGCUUUGAUAUAUGGUUGUGAAUGGAAGAUAUUCUCAUCAUAAACCACAAUUUUAUUUGUUAUCAUUAUCCAGCAAGCAUGGUUCCAUCGCCUCGUCUGCCAUUGAAUUUUCAAACAGAUACAAGUUCUUUAAGAUGCAACCUAGUCUUCAAGGAUAAUUG
rnacentral:misc_RNA from 1 species